GCCAGGGAGGCUCAGGGUCAAGAACAAAGCGAGGAAUUUGGGGCCAAGGCUGAUGUCAGCCGACCCAGUGUCAGUACCACCUGACAGUAUUGAAACAAUCCCACGCCAGGUGGUAAAGAGCCACUGCCCUGAGCCUCUUCCCGCCAGCAACCCCCCUGCCACCAUCUCUGACCCUCCCCUGGCCCAGCAGGUAUCCCCUGGAACCCUGCUCCUUGUACCUGCGAGGGGUCAACUCUGUGAACUGUGGCCCCUGACUGUGGGACAGCCCCAGGGGGUGGAGGGAGGGACACCCACAGCCCCCAAGCCUAUGGGGAGGAGACCCAGGAAGCGGCGGCCUGGGGACCCCAGCUGGCCUAGAGCUGUGGUUCUUGGGUGAUGCGAGGCCACCCACCGGCAGACAUCUGGCAGCAUCUGGAGCCACUUCUGUUCUCACAGCAGGAGUGGGCGCUAGGAGCACACAGUGGGACGGUGCCAGGGACGCUGCUAAACACCCUACGGGCAGAGGCCAGCCCCCGCCACACAGGAGGCUCGGGGCCAAAACACCACUGCUGCCGCGGGGGAGACACCCAGGAGGGGAAUGUUCAACGUUUCUCCUGGAAAGUUUAUGGCCAUCUGUUAUUUAUCAGUUGUAAGAUUUCUCUCAUCAACCGACAGUGCUGCAUGGAACUCAGCUGUCCCGUCCGACAGCCAUCAGCCACACACAGCCACAGCGCACGUGAACCACCGCGCGUCCCAACCGAGAGGAGGCAUGAAAACACACACCAGAUUUCCAAGGCUCACACUGGCUUUCCUCAGGACAGCACUGGCUAAGCCCCCAUGUGCCACCGCAGCAUAAAGAACAUGAAAAUACAACACAGGAAACGAAGGCCCUGCACAUCCCUCACCCAGCUGCCCCAGCUGCCCCAGCUGCCCCAGCUGCCCACUGCCCCGAGGUAGCCACCAUCACUGCUCUGCUUUACUGAGCAUGGAUCUCAGGAUACAGCUACUAAGACAGUGUAAACUUCCGCCCGAAGGCUAUACGUGGACCCGAGUGCCACCCCCACCACGGACCAAAGCCGUCCAUGCCUGACACCUCAGUGGCACCUGGGCUCCAUGGCACCACUUCUGGACCCUUCCCGAGGGCCCAGGCGGGGCUGAAGAGGCCUCAAGGUGCCAGGGCUUCAGGCCCUGCCCUCUCCCCCACUCCCACAGCAGGCAUCACCCACAUUCUGUCUUGUUACAGGCACAUGGGCCCAUCUGAGGGCAGGGAAGGGCAGGACUUGCUGACCUUUACUCAGCAACGAUGGUCAGUAAGCAUUCCUCCGCACAUUCGCAUGCAUCCUCCUGAACUCGUGUUUGGCUAAGAGUCACCUGUUUGUUGACAGGGCUCUUGACUGGGGUCUGGCAGCCACGGCCUGUUGGCUGCAGACCACCCAUUUGCGUUUUUUACUUUUUUUGUUGUGGGUGUAGUAAAAUGAAGAGAAUGGAAAAUUUACCAAUUUCGCUAUUUUGAAGCGUAGAGUUCAGCAGCAUUUAAGACAUCCACAAUGGGCAACCACUAACCCUACCCAUCUUGUUUUCCUCACCCCAGACAGAAACCACACACCCGUCAUGCAGCUCGCACCUGCCCCCGAGCCCACCCCCCAUUGCUAUGGAUUCGCCCACUCUGGAAGGCCACCUGUUUGUAAAUAAAGUUCAAGGGGAGCACAGACACACCCACUUCUUUCCAACCUGCCCCUGGCUGUCUCCCCAACACCAGCAGGGUGCUGGCAACACGGCAGCGGGCCCCACAGAACCUCAAAUGUUUACUGAGGAAGCUUCCUUUUAGAGAAGGCUUGCCAACCCCUUAGAUCACCUACAGAUUAUUGAUUGUCUGUUCCCCAGCCCCCCAGGGCUCUUGUGCUGGCAGGGGCUCUCUCGGGGGGCCUAGAUACGGGCCCGCUGGGGCUCGGGGAGCUCAGUCUUCAGCUGUAACCCGUGUCCAGCUGUGUCCCAAGGUGGGUGUGACUGCCAAGGCUCCCGCCAGCCAGCACCAGGAGUGGGACUCCCAGCCUUGCCAGCAUGGGGACAGCCCACGGCCCCAGAGAGGAGCCCCCCUCUCCCGUCUGUCCUGGGUGCUUGGAUUCCACGUCACAUCGCUUCGAGUGUUUCAGAAACACUCCAAGUUUCCUUCCUGCCCAGUUGCGGGUGUCCCCGUGGGACGGACUACAGCCCUUCCGUGUCAAGCGGCCGGAGGGUCUUAUCCACACUGGACAUGGGGCUGGGACUGCACCUGAGGCUGCCCCGCAGCUGGGCUGGGGAACAGCACCUGCAGAACAGUGGCGUGACCUUGCCAGUAGUCGGCACCCAGUCUCCCCUCUUACAGCAUCUGCACUCUCCCCACCCCCCUUCACCCACAAAGCUCCCCUGGGACCGAGCCCUCAGCCUGUCCCCAUGGGUGGCCACAGCACUAGGCCUGACUGUCCCCCCUGCUACAGUGACUGGGCUCAGAGGCUGGCUUGUGACUAAGGUGGCCCAAGAAGCAAGUGUCUGGGACUACCAAGGACAUCUGCCUCCAGCUGAGAGGGAAUCGCCUGCACUGUUGGGAGCCUGCCUGGGAAUGAAGUGAACACAGGGUUCAGCAGAGAGACAGAAGGUGUUUUUCACUUUGUGUCCCUGGAUCAAACUCUGCCUGAAGCCCACAUAACUCCUGGACUUCAGUUAUA